ACCACGGUACUGGUGACUGCCCUCCGGAGGCAGAGGUCACAGGUUCGACUCCUGUCGGGUGCGCCA
rnacentral:tRNA from 1 species